UAUAAAAAACAGAGACCAGAUACUGUGGGCCUGAUUCACAUAUGGCACAAAAAGAGGAAUCCUGCCUGUGACUAUCGUUAAGGAUCUGGCACAAACAAAUGGGGAGCGAAGGAAUCAAAGUGCAGCAGACUCUCCAAGGGCUUUGAAUUCACACGCCCCAGAUGGCUGAGACCCAUAAAGACACAACAUGGCCAUGAGUUCAGGCUGGAGCUAUGUCUCCAGCCUGACAGGCUGUGAAUGGUCUUUAAACACAGUCCUACCUACAUUGGCUCCUUGGGGUGUGGCUUCUGUCCAGGACAUUUUGUCAGAAGGCAUCCAGCCUGGAUUUGAAGACAUCAAGAGACGCAGAAUCCACCACUUCCCUGUGUAGUCUGUUUCAUCAUUAUCCUACUUAACUCUGACCUAUGGCUUCCCAUGCCUAGAUCGCAAAGAGCUCUCCAAC